rnacentral:rRNA from 1 species
AUUGAACGCUGGCGGCAUGCCUUACACAUGCGAGUCGAACGGCAGCGGACCUCCGGGUGCCGGCGAGUGGCGAACGGGUGAGUAAAGUAUCGGAACGUACCUUUCAGUGGGGGAUAACGUAGCGAAAGUUACGCUAGUACCGCAUAUUCUGUGAGCAGGAAAGCAGGGGAUCGCAAGACCUUGCGCUGAUUGAGCGGCCGAUAUCAGAUUAGCUAGUUGGUGGGGUAAAGGCCUACCAAGGCGACGAUCUGUAGCGGGUCUGAGAGGAUGAUCCGCCACACUGGGACUGAGACACGGCCCAGACUCCUACGGGAGGCAGCAGUGGGGAAGUUUGGACAAUGGGCGCAAGCCUGAUCCAGCCAUGCCGCGUGAGUGAAGAAGGCCUUCGGGUUGUAAAGCUCUUUCGGCCGGGAAGAAAUCGCAUGGGCUAAUACCCUGUGUGGAUGACGGUACCGGAAUAAGAAGCACCGGCUAACUACGUGCCAGCCGCCGCGGUAAAAC